rnacentral:rRNA from 1 species
GACGAACCGUGCGAACGUUGUUCGGAAUCACUGGGCUUAAAGGGAGCGUAGGCGGGCUAACAAGUCUGGGGUGAAAUGCCGCGGCUCAACCGUGGAACUGCCUCAGAUACUGUCGGCCUCGAGGGAGAUAGGGGCAUGCGGAACUGUAGGUGGAGCGGUGAAAUGCGUUGAUAUCUACAGGAACUCCGGUGGCGAAAGCGGCGUGCUGGAUCUCUUCUGACGCUGAGGCUCGAAAGCUAGGGGAGCAAACGGG